rnacentral:rRNA from 1 species
CCUACGGGCGGCAGCAGUGAGGAAUAUUGGUCAAUGGCCGGAAGGCUGAACCAGCCAAGCCGCGUGAAGGACGAAGGUGCCAAGCAUUGUAAACUUCUUUUGUCAAGGGACAAAAUCAGGCUCGAGAGCCUGACCGAGGUUACUUGAAGAAAAAGCAUCGGCUAACUCCGGGCCAGCAGCCUCGGUAAUAGGGGGGGGGCGAGCGUUAUCCGGAUUGAUUGGGGUAAAGGGGUGCGUGGGCGGACAGUUAAGUCAACGGUAAAAGCCCGGGGCUAACCCCCGGCGAGCCGUUGAAACUGGCUGUCUUGAGAUGUCGAGAGGUGUGCAGAAUGCGAAGUGUAGCGGUGAAAUGCUUAGAGAUUGCGCAGAACUCCGAUUGCGAAGGCAGCAUACCGGCG